UGUGAAAUGUUGGUUCCUUGGGAACAG
rnacentral:piRNA from 1 species